rnacentral:lncRNA from 1 species
AGGUGUAGCAAUGAUGAGCCACUAUAUGAAAAUGAGCAUGCCAUAACUCAGCAUUCCAAACAACACAAUAAACUCACCUGAACUUAUUUGCGCAUCCCGUAGGAUCAUCUUGGUAUUUCACAACAGUGCAACAUUUCUCAAAACAUAAUUUAAUCAUGGCAUGAAGUGCAUGAAUCAAUUCAAAAGCAUUUUUGGAAACUAUCAAUCAUAUAUAUAUAAAGGAAAAGACCCUCUCACCUGAAGUCCGUGUUACAACUCCUUAGCAUGAAUAUUGAGACGUCACGAAUGAUCGGCGCCUAGAACAAUUAUCAAAUCAUGUCUUAGAUUUCUUAUCAAUAGAAUACGUAACUUACAUAAAACACAUCCCCAAGGACAUUCUAGAAUGAUUUGAAACCCAUUGACCAAAAGUCAAUCGUCGGUCAAAGGUCAGCGG